AUACUGCAAAAUUGAAUUUUAUGUCGACUUUCUUGAAUUGCUGAUAAAUUGGCUAAGGGCACAGCAAUAUUGUCAGUAGACUGAGAGAUCUCCUUAUGGGGGGAUCGCGAGGAAACAUGGGGUGGCGCGGGGUAUCCUUUAUAACGUGAUAUACAAGAUACCAGUAUAUUGAAUAGCGAACUUUAAUUAUUCUACAGAUAUGGACUAUAAAUAGAUGAAUGCGGUGCGUAAAAGCAGAAAUGUGGGUUAGUCGAUUUUGGAUAUAUUUAUUACAAAUGAAUUCAAGUUAAGG